CCGGCGGAAAAAGAGAAGUCGUCCGUCUCAAGUGAUACGUUAAUUGCUCAGUAGUGCUUCGCCACUACCGUAGCUGGCGGAAAUAGCUUAAUGGUAGAGCAUAGCCUUGCCAAGGCUGAGGUUGAGGGUUCAAGUCCCUCCUUCCGCUCUUGGCUUCGUCGUUUAGUGGUAACGAGUAGAGUAGGCAUCGCCUCUCGAUCCAAUCCGUC